GACGAACGCUGGCGGCGGGCUUAACACAUGCAAGUCGAACGGAAAGGCCCUGCUUGUGUGUGGUGCUCGAGUGGCGAACGGGUGAGAAACACAUGAGUCACCUUCCCUUGACUUUGUGAUAACUUCAGACAACUGCUACUAAUACCUGAUAGGAGCUCCUGCUGCAUGGGGGGGGUUGGAAAUUUUCGGCGGUUGGGGCUGGACUCGCGGCUUAUCAGCUGGUGGGGUGGGUAGUGGCUUACCAGGCCUUUGACGGGUGGCCUGCCUGAGAGGGUGACCGGCGACAUUGGGACUGAGAUACGGCCCAGACUCGUACGGGAGGCAGCAGUGGGGAAUAUUGCACAGUGGGCGGAAGCCUGAUGCAGAAACGCCGCGUGCGGGAUGACGGCCUUCGGGUUGUAAACGGCUUUCGCCUGUGACGAAGCGUGAGUGACGGUAAUGGGUAAAGAAGCACCGGCUAACUACGUG
rnacentral:rRNA from 1 species